rnacentral:rRNA from 1 species
UUUUACUAUAAUAAUCCAAGAUUGGGUAUCCCGAAUUUAUAAGAGCUAUCAAAUAAUUUAUAUUGGCUAAGAAUAAAGAGGCUGUGGCAUCAGCCUACCAAAAUUUUUUGAUAGGGGUGAAACGCCUUCACUUUUAAUGUUAGCUGGAUAGCAAUUAAAUACAUUGAGUGUAUACUACAAAUCUGUUGAGUAAUAAGAUUUAACAGAAGAAAAUAAUGCUAUUUACCGAUAGUCUUUAUUGUUUAAAACAUAGAAAAGAUACAAAAACGAAUAAUUAAAUUAGUUAGUGUAUUUUAUCAUAAUUACUUAGUUAGGUUAAUAAACAAAAUCUUACUAGAUAAUGUAAAAAUUAGUAAAUACAGGAAUAGUAUAAAAGGAACUCGGCAAAUAGUCUUUUUGCCUGUUUAUCAAAAACAUAGCGGCAUGGUAUUCAUAUGCGGUCUAAUCUGCCCAGUGAGCAAUUUUAACGGCCGCAGUACUUUGACUGUGCUAAGGUAGCAUAAUAAUUUGGCUUUUAAUUGAGGUCUGGAAUGAAAGAAUUAACAAAGAGAUACUGUCUCCUAUAUUAUAUUUAGAAGUUAAUUAAUAAGUGAAAAUGCUUAUAAGGAAAAAAUUAGACGAGAAGACCCUUAGACUUUUAAGAAAUAUGCUUCAGUGAGAGAGAGCUAAUGCUUUUUGUUGGGGCAACAUAUUUUCAUAAGAAAUAAAAUAAGUUUUUACUUUAUUCACCGAUUAUAUAUUCAUAUUAAAAUUACCUUAGGGAUAACAGCAUAAUUUUAAUAAAAAGUUUGUGACCUCGAUGUUGGACUAGGGACGCCAAACGCGAGAUGUGUUUGGCGAAAGUUCUGUUCGAACAUUUAAUCCUACAUGAUCUGAGUUCAGACCGG